GAAAGCUCAGCUAAUUUCUCAAAAACACAAGGCCCAUCAGCUGCAUUAAUAAUGAAAGGAGAGGAGAAAAUAGCAACUAAGACGAUCUUUGUCUUCCUGAAGACAUUGAUUGCAAUUCUGCUACAGCUGAUUCCUGACCUUAUAAAAGCUUUUCCUCUGCUGAGGACUGAAAUCUGAAGAUUGGAGGUGGUUGACAUUUAAAAUAAGUUUAAUGAGAAUUUUAACUUAAAAAAUAAAACACACCUGAAAAAAAUAUAUAGAAAUGUAUGACUUUGUAGAAAUAGUAUAAUUUUCCCAAUCAGCAGUGAAGUUA
rnacentral:lncRNA from 1 species